rnacentral:rRNA from 1 species
UGCCAGCAGCCGCGGUAAUACAGAGGUCCCAAGCGUUGUUCGGAUUCACUGGGCGUAAAGGGUGCGUAGGCGGUGGGAUUAGUCUGAUGUGAAAGCUCCGGGCUCAACCUGGAAAUUGCAUUGGAUACUAUCUCACUAGAGGAUCGGAGGGGGGACUGGAAUUCUUGGUGUAGCAGUGAAAUGCAUAGAUAUCAAGAGGAACACCAGUGGCGAAGGCGAGUCCCUGGACGAUUCCUGACGCUGAGGCACGAAGGCUAGGGUAGCAAACAGGAUUAGAUA